GCUCAAAGUGAAAAUCUGAAGUGGUCAACACAACAGAAUUGUAAUCUAAAGAGUUAACCCAAAGCUAAGCUCCUCGCAUAAGUUCCUUGGAACAGGACGUCAAAGAGGGUGACAACCCCGUAGUCGGUGAGGAAGGCUGGUGAAGGGAAGGCUUCAAUGAGUCGGGUUGUUUGGGAUUGCAGCCCUAAGUGGGAGAUAAACUUCUUCUAAAGCUAAAUAUACACGGGAGACCGAUAGCGAACAAGUACUGCGAAGGAAAGAUGAAAAGAACUUUGAAAAGAGGGUUAAAAGACUUGAAACCGUUGAGAAGGAAGCUGUAGAAGAGCAAUAAACUGGACGGCGCAUAAGGGGGAAGUGUUACUCACUGCAAAGUCGAUACGAAAGGUCGAUGAGUAAGGAAAGGACACAGAACUUGCUACGCCGGUCAGAAGACAAAAUGAGUUCAGAUUGAAGGAGUCACCUGAGAUCGGGUAGCAAUACAGAUCAAAAGGGAAACUUCAGACUGGACUGAGGGGCCUAAGGGCGAUUUUGUCAAAAUGGCUUCUACUGACCCGUCUUGAAACACGGACCAAGGAGUCUAUCAAUUAAGCGAGUGAUAGGGUGGAAAAACCCGUCCGCGAAACGAAAGUGAGUACAAGGUGCCAAGCCGCAAGGUAGCAGCAUCACCCGACCUUGAGUCUCCGACGAAGGGUUCGAGGAAGAGCUUAAUUGUUAGGACCCGAAAGAUGGUGAACUACGCUUGAAUAGGGUGAAGCCAGGGGAAACUCUGGUGGAAGCUCGUAGCGAUACUGACGUGCAAAUCGUUCGUCAAAUUUGAGUGUAGGGGCGAAAGACUAAUCGAACCAUCUAGUAGCUGGUUCCCUCCGAAGUUUCUCUCAGGAUAGCAAGAGCAAGUACGCAGUUUUAUUAGGUAAAGCGAAUGAUUAGAGGACUCGGGGUUCCAAGAAUCUCGACCUAUUCUCAAACUUUAAAUUGGUAAGAGCCGCGGAGUUUUCUUAAAUGAACUCUCGGGUAGAAUGCAGUGCUCUUAGUGGGCCAUUUUUGGUAAGCAGAACUGGCGAUGAGGGAUGAACCUAACGUUGAGAUAAGGCGCCCAAAUGCACGCUCAUCAGAUACCACAAAAGGUGUUGGUUCAUAUGGACAG
rnacentral:rRNA from 1 species